UACGUGCCAGCAGCCGCGGUAAUACGGAGGAUACGAGCGUUAUCCGGAAUUAUUGGGUUUAAAGGGUGCGUAGGUGGCGUAUUAAGUCAGUGGUGAAAAGCUGCAGCUCAACUGUAGUCUUGCCGUUGAAACUGAUAUGCUAGAGAGGAGACGAGGUAUGCGGAAUGUGUGGUGUAGCGGUGAAAUGCAUAGAUAUCACACAGAACGCCGAUUGCGAAGGCAGCGUACCAGGCUCCGUCUGACACUGAAGCACGAAAGCGUGGGGAUCAAACAGGAUUAGAUACCCUGGUAGUCCACGCCGUAAACGAUGAGUGCUAGGUGUUAGACCCUUUCCGGGGUUUAGUGCCGUAGCUAACGCAUUAAGCACUCCGCCUGGGGAGUACGACCGCAAGGUUGAAACUCAAAGGAAUUGACGGGGGCCCGCACAAGCGGAGGAACAUGUGGUUUAAUUCGAUGAUACGCGAGGAACCUUACCCGGGCUUGAAUUGCAGACGAAGGCUUCAGAGAU
rnacentral:rRNA from 1 species